UGGGGAAUAUUGCACAAUGGGCGCAAGCCUGAUGCAGCCAUGCCGCGUGUAUGAAGAAGGCCUUCGGGUUGUAAAGUACUUUCAGCGGGGAGGAAGGCGAUAAGGUUAAUAACCUUGUCGAUUGACGUUACCCGCAGAAGAAGCACCGGCUAACUCCGUGCCAGCAGCCGCGGUAAUACGGAGGGUGCAAGCGUUAAUCGGAAUUACUGGGCGUAAAGCGCACGCAGGCGGUCUGUCAAGUCGGAUGUGAAGUCCCCGGGCUCAACCUGGGAACUGCAUUCGAAACUGGCAGGCUAGAGUCUUGUAGAGGGGGGUAGAAUUCCAGGUGUAGCGGUGAAAUGCGUAGAGAUCUGGAGGAAUACCGGUGGCGAAGGCGGCCCCCUGGACAAAGACUGACGCUCAGGUGCGAAAGCGUGGGGAGCAAACA
rnacentral:rRNA from 1 species